CCAAAAACCUAGCUUACCACACCCACCACCUCACAACAUCAAUAAAAUAUUUUAUCAUAGUAGUAGAGAAGAUCAAAAUUUUGUUUAAAGCUAUAAAUAUGUACCGCAAGGGAAAGGUGAAAUAAAAAUGAAAUAAAUCUCAAGCACAAAAAAGUAGAGACUGCCCCUCGUACCUUUUGCAUCAUGGUUUAACUAGUCCAAUCAGGCAAAAGGCCCUUAAGUCUGACACCCCGAAACUAAGUGAGCUAAUUUAGGGCCGCCUAACGAGCCAACCCGUCUAUGUUGCAAAAUAGUGGGAAGACCCUAAAAUAGAGGUGACAAGCCUAACGAACUUAGUUAUAGCUGGUUCCUCAAGAAAAGAAUCUUAGUUCUGCCUAAAGAAACACAAAUCCAAAAAAUAUCUUCCCCCCCUUUAGAGUAAUUUAAAUAAGGUACAGCCUAUUUAAUACAGGAUCCAACCUUGACCUACGGGUAAUAUUUCCCUCUACCACCCCCAAGUGGGCCUAACAGCAGCCACCUUUAAAAAAGCGUUAAAGCUUACCUGUGGUAACUUGAAUCCACCCAUCCUUAUUGACCCCUACAACCAUAUUGAGGACUUCUAUGCCCCAUAGAAAUUUUUAUGUUAAAACUAGUAACAAGAGGAUCAACCUCUCUUAAAUGUAAACGUAAGCCAAAAGAACCCCUCACUGGCAAUUAACAGACCUCCACAGAAGUAGUAACCACCCUAGAAAACCCUACCUCUUAAACUGUCAACCUAACACCAGAACAUUCCAAGAAAGAUUAAAAGAAAAAGAAGGAACUCGGCAAAUUCUAAUCCCGCCUGUUUACCAAAAACAUCGCCUUUUGCCCCCAUAAAAGGUAUAGCCUGCCCAGUGACUCAGUUCAACGGCCGCGGUAUCCUAACCGUGCAAAGGUAGCGUAAUCACUUGUCCCCUAAAUAGAGACUUGUAUGAAAGGCACCACGAGGAUUAAGCUGUCUCCUUUCUCUAAUCAGUGAAACUAAUCUCCCCGUGAAGAAGCGGGGAUCACCUAAUAAGACGAGAAGACCCUAUGGAGCUUUAAACCUUAUAAUCAACCGCCCCACCUAAUAUACCCAGGUACACACGCCUAUGCAGUAAUGAUUAUACGUUUUUGGUUGGGGUGACCGCGGAGAAAAAACUAUCCCCCGCGAUGAAAGGACCCGCCUAAACAACAAGCUACAGCUUUAUGGAUCAACAAAUUGACACUUUUGACCCAAUAUAUUGAUUAACGAACCAAGUUACCCUAGGGAUAACAGCGCAAUCCACUUCAAGAGCCCCUAUCGACAAGUGGGCUUACGACCUCGAUGUUGGAUCAGGGUACCCCAGUGGCGCAGCCUCUACUAAAGGUUCGUUUGUUCAACGAUUAAAACCCUACGUGAUCUGAGUUCAGACCGGAGUAAUCCAGGUCAGUUUCUAUCUAUUCCCACCAAGGCUCUUUUUAGUACGAAAGGAUCAAAAAAGCGCGGCCCAUACCCAAACAAGCCGUAAUUAACAAUUUUAAAAUAAUCUUAAUAAUCACAAACCUUCCCCACACACCUCCAGAAAAGAACA
rnacentral:rRNA from 1 species